GAAAUGCGAUAAGUAAUGUGAAUUGCAGAAUUCAGUGAAUCAUCGAAUCUUUGAACGCACAUUGCGCCCGCCAGUAUUCUGGCGGGCAUGCCUGUCCGAGCGUCAUUUCAACCAUCAAGCCCCCGGGCUUGUGUUGGGGACCUGCGGCUGCCCGCAGGCCCUGAAAACCAGUGGCGGGCUCGCUGUCACACCGAGCGUAGUAGCGAUCGCCUCGCUCAGGGCGUGCUGCGGGUUCCGGCCGUUAAACAGCCUUACAAAACCCAAGGUUGACCUCGGAUCAGGUAGGAAGACCCGCUGAACUUAAGC
rnacentral:misc_RNA from 1 species